AAGCAGAUUUUCCAAACCAAUGAGAUAAGGCAGAGCUCUUUGCUUCAGUUUCAGUUUAAAACUGAAACUAAAUUCAGAUCUUUAUAUUCAGUCUGAAUAACACGGCUGUUCCCAGGACACCACUAUUAAGAGAAAGAUAAGGUAUCGAGGAUGGGUUUGGAAGUGAAAGGUUUGCUUUGGGGGAGCUUUGUAUUGCAGGCUUUGAGUGUGUCCACUCCUGCUUUGACCCUCCUGGUAGCUGGCGUUGUCACGGUGGUGGUGGUAUCGAGAAUGGUAGGGGAGGUGCACGCUGAUCAGCGAUAUCAUCAAGAUCGUCAUCAGAAUCAUCGCCCCGAACGUCACCGAUUUGCUCAAAUUGGAAACUAAGCUGGCCUGUGGAUUCAAUGCUUUUGUAAUACUCAUGCUUGCCCUUAUAUCGACAAACAGGAAAGAGCAACCAGCUGACAAGAAAGAAAAAUAAUAACAAGACGAGCUCAGAGGAUGUAGAGACAAAGAAAAUGUUUCAGUUAAUUUACUUUCACUGCGAAAAUCUGACAUUUUGAUAAGCUUGUUUAACCAGACCAAAAUGCUGUGUCUUACUAAAAUGGAAUUAGCUUCUUUUGUUGAAUGGAUAAUUCUGAUUUGAUUAAAAACAAAUGAAAGUAA